AAAAGAAUGAAAAGUUCCUUCACAGAUAGUGUGGGAAACACUGGUCUUCAAGCGUCUUCAAUCCUCCUCUCUUCUUGCUCUAUUUCAAUCCCAUGACUUAAAUAACUUCCCAUAUGUGCAUGUUAGAUUCUUUCAGGUUUCAAGGAACAGAGACCUGUUCAGUUUAUCUGAAUUAUUCAAGGUUAAUAAUAAGGUCUGGGAGGAAAAGUAAAGAAAACAAAAAAGAACCCCUGCUGUUCCACUCAUGUAUCUUUUCAUCCCCCAGCAGCAGACUCCACUCCUUCCCGCCAUUGUGAAUAUUAUCAUCUUCAUCUUUUUAUACUGUACUACUUCUGCUACACUGACCUUCUCUCCAUGCCACCAAACCACACUCCUAAGUGCAGAGAAUAUGAUUGAUUCUCCUACUAUACCAAUUUCCAUGAGCAGGACCAAUUACAUAAUUUGCAGGGUCCAGAGGAAAAAAAAUGCAGAACUCCUCAUUGAAAAAUUACUAAGAAUUUCAAGAUGGUGGCAACAGAGCAUUAAACCAACCACAGGGUCUUUCUAACAUGGAGAACUAAGUGACUACACAGGCUACAUGUCCACGAAGCCAGACAGUCUCUGAAGUGCAGGCUCAACUCUGCCUGGCAGUGGCAAGGGCCAGGGCCAGUGACUGAAGCAACAAACUGCCAGAUGACUGCAGCUCAAGCCAAUGCACAAAGCCACUGCAACAAGAGAGGAAAUUCUUCCAUUUCCAAGUGUGUCGAUUUCUCCCCAUCAAGGAAAACAGCUAAGACAGAUUGUCCUGAAACACAGUAGUCCAUACUACCUCUCAAAAUAUGACCCUCAUGAUACUGACCAAUCACCCGGGCUUGAUACCAAGAGGUAGCUAGUUCGGUAAUACACUAUUUUAUUAUUAAUAGUUUCUCUUCCUUCUUUGCCCAGCCCGUUCGUCUUCACUCCAGUUUCUCUCAAACUACACUCAGGCUCUGUUUUCUACAGAACCCAGGCUAAAAGACUUGGCACCAGGAGCGUCCUGCAGACACUCAGGAUGGAAUGCUAGAGUUGGGUUACUUACCGACCGUGUGGCAAUAAAGACCCAUGGCACA
rnacentral:lncRNA from 10 species